rnacentral:rRNA from 1 species
UAAUCUGCCUCUAUGAUGGGGAUAACAGUUGGAAACGACUGCUAAUACCGAAUACGCUCAUAAUGAACUUUAUGAGGAAAGGUGGCCUCUGCUUGCAAGCUAUCGCAUAGAGAUGAGUCCGCGUCCCAUUAGCUAGUUGGUGGGGUAACGGCCUACCAAGGCAACGAUCAGUAGCCGGCCUGAGAGGGUGAACGGCCACAUUGGGACUGAGACACGGCCCAA